UCCGCGACAGCGUCACGAGAACCGCCCCUAACGCUCGUCGAAUCGAUCGCAGGCCAGAUCGUGUUCAACAAGCUCAGGGAGAGAUCCGACCAGUUCGCGGCGAGGGGACUGGUGAGGUCCGAGGAGAGCAAGCAGAAGAUCGGGGGAGACGACGACGUCUACGUCGCCGACGUCAGGGAGGCGGAGAACCUCGCACCGGCCGUCCAGGGCGCCGACGCGCUCGUCAUCCUCACCAGCACCUCCCCCAAGAUGAAGCCAGGGUUCGACCCCACCAAGGGCGGCCGGCCCGAGUUCUACUACGAGGACGAAGCCUACCCUGAGCAGGUGGAUUGGAUUGGGCAGAAGAAUCAGAUUGAUGCUGCCAAAGCAGCCGGUGUGAAGCACAUAGUGCUGGUGGGAUCUGGGGGAACAAAUCCCAACCAUCCACUGAACAGCCUUGGCAAUGGCAAUAUACUGGUAAGUUGUUUGCGAUGA
rnacentral:rRNA from 1 species